CGGUACUCAGGAGACUGUUCUGUCGGCACAGCGACUGAUGGACGGACGCAGCAGGUGGCAGGUCCGAGUCCAUCCCAAGAGGCCACAGACCUUGCCUUGGGUGUCCAGUGCCGUCUGCAGGGGUCUCGAACCCUGCUUGGGGUUCCAAAUCCAGCCCAGGGGGAUUCAGAAGUCUGCUGGCAGCCGGAGUAUGGCCCACCCUCUGGGGGCCAGGCCCUGGAGUCCUGAACCCUGCGGUGGAGUCUCCAGUCCUGCCCUGGGGGCUCUGAAGUCUGUUUUAGUAGCCUGAGUGCAGUCCUGGGGAUCCCAGGCCCUGCCUUUGUGAGUCCGAGUGCAGUCCCCCUCCGGGGUCUUAGAUCCUGCCUUGGGGGUCUGAAUGUGGCUUGUGGAUGUGGCUUGGGAAAUGAUGGCAGAGCCCGCUGGGUCGAGCAUGUGGUGAGGGUGGGCUGGUUCCAGGGAGCCUCACCCGUUCAGACUGGUCGCAGUUUCUCCUGCAGGCAGCAUGCGGAGGGCCCGGUGCUGAAGGGGUCACAGAAUUCCAGCCUCCACGGCGGUUCUGGUUUUCACGGGAGAACCAUUGUCGGUUCGUUGAAAUGUUCCUUUCUAAGUGUCUGCAGGAGGCCAUGGCCUUUCUGAGGUUUCAGGAGGUGAGGUUACAUCACGUCGUGUAACAGAGGAUGAGGGAGACGCCAGACGACUGGAAAGACGGAACGGAGCCCCAAGCGGCCUUGGAAACCCAGUAGCAUCGAGGGAUGUGUGUAAGGGAUGAAAGCGACCUUGAGACGUGGAAAUACACAGCAGCCUCAGUGUGGUCGGUGUCGCUGCCCUGGAGAAGCCCCCAGAAUGUGGCGGAAUUGCUGAUCUUGGCCUUGAACACGGUUGGGCCCCUGCCCAGGUUUUCCUGCUCGGCGCCCAGAUGGAGCCUCUGUAGGGACUUUCGUGCACAAGCCUUUGCCCGGAAAUGGGCCUUCGUUUCUCCUGGGUCGGGACCGGCAGCGAGUGGCUGGAGUCUGGAACGUGUGCGUUUAGCUUUUUGCGAGACCCCCAAGCUGUCGUCCACCCUGGUCACACUGUUUCACGCUCCCGUCUGCGGUGGGAGAGUCCAGUGGCCUCACACGCUCCUGUGCUCGUCAGCCUUGUUGGUUUUAGCCGUUGUGAUAGUCGGGAAGUGGUGUUUGCUGUGGUUUUAAUCCCGUUUCUCCGAUGCUGGGCAUCUUUGGAUCCAUAUGUAUGCUUUCGUGAGGAGUGUGUUGCAAUCUUUUGCUGGUCUUUUUUUUUUUUCUUGCUGAGGAAGACUGGCCCUGAGCUAACAUCUGUGUCCACCUUCCUCCACUUUAUAUGUGGGACGCCUGCCACAGCAUGGCUUCACAAGCGGUGCCACGUCCACACCCAGGAUCCGAACCUGCGAACCCCAGGCCGAGGCCGUCGAAGAGGAAUGUGUGAACUUAACCGCCAUUGGGCCGGCCAUUGCUGGUCAUUUUUAUUGAGUUGCUUGUCUUCUUUCUGUUGAGUUUUGAGCCUUGUUUUAUAAAGUCUUGAUAAAGCUCCUUCACUGGACGUGUCCUUUGCACGUAUUUUUCUAUCA